UGCAAGUCGAGCGGGGUUUUCGGACCUAGCGGCGGACGGGUGAGUAAUGCGUAGGAAGCUACCCGAUAGAGGGGGAUACCAGUUGGAAACGACUGUUAAUACCGCAUAAUGUCUACGGACCAAAGUGUGGGACCUUCGGGCCACAUGCUAUCGGAUGCGCCUACGUGGGAUUAGCUAGUUGGUGAGGUAAUGGCUCACCAAGGCGACGAUCUCUAGCUGGUUUGAGAGGAUGAUCAGCCACACUGGAACUGAGACACGGUCCAGACUCCUACGGGAGGCAGCAGUGGGGAAUAUUGGGCAAUGGGCGCAAGCCUGAUCCAGCCAUGCCGCGUGUGUGAAGAAGGCCUUAGGGUUGUAAAGCACUUUCAGCGAGGAGGAAGGGAGUUGUGUUAAUAGCACGGCUUUUUGACGUUACUCGCAGAAGAAGCACCGGCUAACUCUGUGCCAGCAGCCGCGGUAAUACAGAGGGUGCAAGCGUUAAUCGGAAUUACUGGGCGUAAAGCGCACGCAGGCGGUUGGUUAAGUCAGAUGUGAAAGCCCCGGGCUCAACCUGGGAAUUGCAUUUGAAACUGGCCAACUAGAGUAUGUGAGAGGGGGGUAGAAUUCCAAGUGUAGCGGUGAAAUGCGUAGAGAUUUGGAGGAAUACCAGUGGCGAAGGCGGCCCCCUGGCACAAUACUGACGCUCAGGUGCGAAAGCGUGGGGAGCAAACAGGAUUAGAUACCCUGGUAGUCCACGCCGUAAACGAUGUCUACUAGCUGUUCGUGGUCUUGUACUGUGAGUAGCGCAGCUAACGCACUAAGUAGACCGCCUGGGGAGUACGGUCGCAAGAUUAAAACUCAAAUGAAUUGACGGGGGCCCGCACAAGCGGUGGAGCAUGUGGUUUAAUUCGACGCAACGCGAAGAAUCUUACCUACUCUUGACAUCUACGGAAGUUUGC
rnacentral:rRNA from 1 species